AUUAAGUUCAUUUUUGUUUUUAGGUACAAUACUUUGACUCUUCGUCUUAUUUGAAUUUUUUUUACGAUUAAUAUUUUUAUUGUUACUAGAUAGUAAAACAUAAACAGUAAUUUAUGGGUGACUAAUUUUUUAAAGUUUUUUAACAAAUUUUCAAAUAAGACGAAUGGUCAAACGUUUGGAGACAUAAA
rnacentral:pre_miRNA from 1 species